GGGAUCUGCUUCUAAGCCAGCUCAACAGGCAGAUAAACAGUUUAGAUUUGGAGAUAUCAUUCGAACCAAAAUGAAGUGGAAAGAUAUGACCUAUCUGUCCGAAUACAAAAAGAGGGGGAUCCCUCCAGGAUAUCACUUUGCAAUCUGGGUUGAUAACCCACCAACGAACGUUGUGAUGUCUAAUCGAAACAAUCGCACCAUUUUUCACUUUGAUGGAAAAAAAGUAAACUGUACAUAUGCCUAUAUUGAAGAUAUCAAUAAGUGGCAGCAGUAUAAUGUUCGUGACAACACGCCUGGUUUUAAUGUCCAACCACUAAAACAAAUAGCCAGUAAUGUGGAGGAAAGAUUUCACAAUUGUGGUGACUAUUCAGUUUUGAGAAACAAUUGUGAACAUCUUGUGACAUGGCUCCGAUAUCAUAAUAAGGUAUCAAAACAGGAUGGAGCUGUUGGAAUCUUUUUACAUUACUUUAAACCCGCUGAAUGGCCUGCUACACUGCCACCAGUUAUUGAACCAACGACUUGAGUUCUAAACCUCUCAGAUGUUCUCUCUCUCUUCCAUCCUCUCUGUCUCUGUAUGAAGUGA